GUUUUUGUAGUGUAGUGGUAAUCAGAUUCGCCUCACACGCGAAAGGUCCCUGGUUCGAAACCAGGCAAAAACA